CUGGACAGCGGCGGGACAGAAAAAUUCACUAACCACAGGCCCGGGCCCACAAGAAGCGCAGCAGAAAGGCGUCCGGGGACCCCGGCCUGCAAUCCCGCCACACUGAGUGCAUCCAGCCCCGCCCGGCCUAACCCCUUCGGUCACUCAGCCCGACCCGACCACGCCUCCCGCAGCCCGGCCUUAAACGCCUGCCACGCACCCCACAACCCCUCACACAGGAGGCCGCUUUCUCCGGAGCGCAAUGGCGGCCAGUGCGCGUCCGCUCCGCGUUCCCAGCGCCGGAAAGUGCGCAACCCGACUUCAGCAGUUGAUCCAAUCGGCGCCGAGGUGCUCAGAUGGAUUGGGUGACCAGAGCAAGAGGAACCUGGUGGCGCUGCCGGAAUAGCCACAGACUCAUCCACCCCAGCGGGACCAGGCGGAAGAGGGCCAGGGUGGCCAAGGAGGCCCAGCUGGUCACGCUGAAGGCCAGGGAUGGGGCCUGGCGAGAGAGCAACAGCAGCUUCCGCAGGUGCAAGCAGGCAGAGUUCAACUCCAGGAGCAGAGACACCAUGGAGAAGCCCACGUAGUGGCCAGACAGAACAGCGGUGCUGAGGCAGCUCACCACCUGGGAGCCAGGGUCACAGGUCAGAGGACCCCCCACAACCUGCCAGCCAUCAUGUCCCAAUAACCCAGGCCUUAAGAGAGGCUUCCACGCACUCUGUGGGACUCCCCAAACACCUGACCUUUAUGCUUUUACCUUUAUCCUGGGGCCCUGAGCAGCCUUGAAACAACCCUUCCAUAGAUGGAGCCAGGAUUGGCCCAGGGAGGGGCUGUCUCAUCCCCUAACACCCCUUUAACUUCCCAUUCCUGGGCUUUCUUUUCUUUCUUUCUUUUUUUUUUUUUUUUUUUU